GACGUAGGGGGCCAGCGUUGUUCGGAAUUACUGGGUGUAAAGGGUUCGUAGGCGGUGCGGCAAGUUGGGAGUGAAAUCUCUGGGCUUAACCCAGAGGCUGCUUCCAAAACUGCUGUGCUUGAGUCCGGGAGAGGUGAGUGGAACUGCGAGUGUAGAGGUGAAAUUCGUAGAUAUUCGCAAGAACACCAGUGGCGAAGGCGGCUCACUGGCCCGGUACUGACGCUGAGGUGCGAAAGCGUGGGGAGCAAACAGGG
rnacentral:rRNA from 1 species